GGUCCUAUUAGCUGACUGAGCCCAUACUGGAGGCAGGCGAGCAUGCAAUGGAACCGGGCUCAGCAGCAGACUUUAUAGGGAUUACGGCCGGGCCAAACAGCCUCAGAGACAGACAGAGUCCAGUUUGACAAGUGGCCAGUUUGACAAAUACAGUGGCUCCAACCAAGACUCUUGACUCUGGGCGGGAACAGGAGAGGAGUGAGAGGGUGCCCGGACAUCAGAAAGGCAGCCACAGUUUAUUUCGACCAAACCAGAGAUGGUGAUUGUUGGAACACUGGAAAGACUAACCAAGAAGCUUUUGGGAAAGUGCGAUGUUGUGGUGAGUUGCUGAAGGUCCCGGCCCUCUUUCACAAUGACCUGCUGUUCCAGGGGGUUCCGUACUAAGGUCUGCAAACAUAGAAUUUCCCUCGUUGCAUAACAAUUUCCUCUGGGGAAAUGAAAGUUUACAGCCCUGAAAUGCAUCAAGUUCAACUGCGUGUUCCCCCUCCCCCUGAGGACCUCCCCUUUCUCCCGCUGCGCCAAGACCACCUUUCCACAUCGCACGAGACUUUCAAGCCUCUCUCUCUGUUUAUUUUCACUUGACUUACUUUGUCAUCCUCUCCUUUCUGGUUGUCUCACUCCAUCCUCCCCUGCAGUGCUCUUCACAGCCAGUGACUUUGACCUUGUCUACACAUCCUGUUUACAAUAUGGGACACAUGUUUUUUGUGUUCAUGCCCCCACACAAUGCAAAUAUAACACUGCUGUUCUAAAACAUUGCCAUGAA